UACGUAGGGGGCAAGCGUUGUCCGGAUUCAUUGGGCGUAAAGAGCGUGUAGGCGGCCAGGUAGGUCGGUUGUGAAACUGGAGGCUCAACCUUCAGAGGUCGACCGAAACCAUCUGGCUAGAGUCCGGGAGAGGAGGAGUGGAAUUCCUGGUGUAGCGGUGAAAUGCGCAGAUAUCAGGAAGAACACCCGUGGCGAAAGCGGCUCUCUGGAACGGUACUGACGCUGAGACGCGAAAGCGUGGGGAGCGAACAGG
rnacentral:rRNA from 1 species